rfam:Vibrio sp. Ex25 chromosome 1, complete sequence.
UGGGCUGGAAGGGCUGGAUCCAAAGCCUCAGUCUCUUCCACUUUCAUGAGUAAACCAUGUAAGGAAAGAUCUUGAAUCCUAGCUUCAAUUGCCAAGUCACGUUGUUCUACCUUCGCUGGCGCUUGAUGGAGAAUGCGUGAAAAGCGUCGUCUCUCUGCCAUGUGCAUUUUCUCGUUAUGUUUUCAAACAGAAUUGAAUAGUAUAUCAAUGCGAACAAAAAAUGUUCGAUUGCUGUUUGAAAAGUGUCGAGGUCGCUACAGAGUGACGUAAGUGCAAUGUCAUGUUCUUAACGAACGAGACGGGCUAAUGAG